rnacentral:rRNA from 1 species
UGGGGAAUAUUGGACAAUGGGGGAAACCCUGAUCCAGCAAUGCCGCGUGAGUGAAGAAGGCCUUAGGGUUGUAAAGCUCUUUCGCCCGCGAAGAUAAUGACGGUAGCGGGAGAAGAAGCCCCGGCUAACUCCGUGCCAGCAGCCGCGGUAAUACGGAGGGGGCUAGCGUUGUUCGGAAUUACUGGGCGUAAAGCGUACGUAGGCGGAUGCGCAAGUUGGGGGUGAAAUCCCGGGGCUUAACCUCGGAAUUGCCCUCAAAACUGCACGUCUUGAGACCGAGAGAGGUAAGGGGAAUUCCUAGUGUAGAGGUAAAAUUCGUAGAUAUUAGGAAGAACACCAGUGGCGAAGGCGCCUUACUGGCUCGGUACUGACGCUGAGGUACGAAAGCGUGGGGAGCAAACA